rnacentral:lncRNA from 1 species
UAUAUAUAUAUUAUAUGUUGAGCUAGAAUACUCUCGAUAGUAAACGGGGCGUUUUACUAUCGAGUUGUUUUCGAUGAUAGAGCUUCCAAAUUGACGAUCGGCUCCGUUGAACAUGAUCUAUACCACUUGAAGUGUUUAGAAAUCAAAUUUCAAAUCUUUUCGACAUCAUUUGCCUAAUGAUCAAAGGGUUUCAAAAUUUGUAAUUUUAAUGGUGGAUAAGAGACGUUUUCUCGUUUAACGGUGUAAAGAUAUCCAAAUCAAUUGAAUUUUUGUUAGAAAAUUCUUUAAACUAUUUAAAACAAGAUCUAUACUCUUGAUCCUGAUUACAAGACUCCUAUCAUCAUUUUUUAAAGAAUAUUCAUUUUCAGCCAUUCAUUUUUUGUUCACUAGAUGGAUAAAAGAACAAUAUCGAAAGUGCGUGAAAUUUGAUUUCUAGGUAGUUUAAAUGGUUUAGAUCAUAUUUAACAGAGCCGAUCCUCAAUUUGGAAGCUCUAUCAUCGAAAACAACUCGAUAGUAAAACACCCUGUUUACUAUCGAGAGUAUUCUAGCUCAACUCUAUAUAUAUAUAUAUAUAUAUAUAUAGAAUUGAGCUCCAAUGUUUUUAAAAAGUAUCAAGUUAUUAGUGUUUGUAGGUUUUUAACCAUCGGAUUAAAAGAUAUGCGGUUAAGAUGAUGUGGGCCCCCUAGGGUUUAGUGGGUGGUUGGUUGAAUAGUAUAAUCUAAUGGUUGAAAAUGAUCCGAGGAGUAGAUCUAACGGUAAAAAACUUACAAGCACCAAGAGCUUGGUGCUUUUACAAGCACCAUAGCUGGACUCUAUAUAUAUAUAUAUAUAUAUAUAUAUAUAUAUAUUUAACAAUGUACUACUAAACAAAUAUAACAAUAUCCACUCAUCUACUUCUUUAUUUAUUUAUUUAAUAACUAUAUAUGUAGUAU